GUGCCCCGCGGUAAUACGUAGGGUGCGAGCGUUGUCCGGAAUUACUGGGCGUAAAGAGCUCGUAGGUGGUUUGUCGCGUUGUCCGUGAAAACUCACAACUCAAUUGUGGGCGUGCGGGCGAUACGGGCAGACUGGAGUACUGCAGGGGAGACUGGAAUUCCUGGUGUAGCGGUGGAAUGCGCAGAUAUCAGGAGGAACACCGGUGGCGAAGGCGGGUCUCUGGGCAGUAACUGACGCUGAGGAGCGAAAGCGUGGGGAGCGAACAGG
rnacentral:rRNA from 1 species